rnacentral:rRNA from 1 species
UACGUAGGGUGCAAGCGUUACUCGGAAUUACUGGGCGUAAAGCGUGCGCAGGCGGUUCGGUAAGUCAGGUGUGAAAUCCCAGAGCUUAACUUUGGAACUGCAUUUUUAACUCCCGAGCUAGAGUAUGUCAGAGGGGGGUAGAAUUCCACGUGUAGCAGUGAAAUGCGUAGAGAUGUGGAGGAAUACCGAUGGCGAAGGCAGCCCCCUGGGAUAAUACUGACGCUCAGGCACGAAAGCGUGGGGAGCAAACAGG